UUGACGGGGGCCCGCACAAGCGGUGGAGCAUGUGGUUUAAUUCGAUGGUACGCGAGAAACCUUACCAGGGCUUGACAUACACCGGAAGCGCCGUGAAAGCGGCGUGCCGCUUGCGGCCGGUGAACAGGUGCUGCAUGGCUGUCGUCAGCUCGUGCUGUGAAGUGUUGGGUUAAGUCCCGCAACGAGCGCAACCCCUGCCGUCUGUUGCCACCACGAAAGGUGGGGACUCAGGCGGGACCGCCGGUGACAAACCGGAGGAAGGUGGGGAUGACGUCAAGUCCUCAUGGCCUUUAUGACCAGGGCUACACACGUACUACAAUGGCCGAUACAAAGGGCAGCGACACUGCGAGGUGAAGCCAAUCCCGUAAAAUCGGUCUCAGUCCGGAUUGGAGUCUGCAACUCGACUCCAUGAAGUUGGAAUCGCUAGUAAUCGUGGAUCAGCAUGCCACGGUGAAUACGUUCCCGGGCCUU
rnacentral:rRNA from 1 species